GUCUUUGUAGUAUAUAUAUAAAUACACUGGUCUUGUAAACCAGCAAAGGAGCUAACCCUCCCCAAGACU
rnacentral:tRNA from 1 species